rnacentral:rRNA from 1 species
AUUGAACGCUGGCGGCAUGCCUUACACAUGCAAGUCGAACGGUAACAGGUCUUCGGAUGCUGCCGAGUGGCGAACGGGUGGGUAAUACAUCGGAACGUGCCCGAUCGUGGGGGAUAACGAGGCGAAAGCUUUGCUAAUACCGCAUACGAUCUACGGAUGAAAGCGGGGGAUCUUCGGACCUCGCUCGGACGGAGCGGCCGAUGGCAGCCUAGGUAGGUGGUGGGAUAAAAGCUUUCCAAGCCGACGAUCUGUAGCUGGUCUGAGAGGAUGAUCAGCCACACUGUCACUGAGACACGGCACAGACUCCUACGGUAGGCAGCAGUGGGGAAUUUUGGACAAGGGGCGAGAGCCUGAUCCAGCCAUGCCGCGUGCAGGAUGAUGGCCUUUGGGUUGUUGACUGCUUAUGUACGGAGCGAAAAGCCUCUUUCUAAUAAGGAGGGAUCAUGACGGUACCGUAAGAAUAAGCACCGGCUAACUACGUG